rnacentral:lncRNA from 1 species
CAUUUUGAAGGUCAUAUGGUUCUGUGCAAUAGGUUAGUGCUCUUCUGUAAAAAUAUCUAAAAGCAACUUUUUUGUAGGAGAUUGGAUCAUAAGACUAGUUAGGAAUUAAGAUUGGCUCAUAGAGUGUAUAGGAAGCUGUGAUAUGACCUUAGUAUUUAAUUAUGUACCAUAAGAACCAUGUAUUAUUUGAAUAAGGCUGAGCCAGCCAAAUUUUUUAUCAUGAUAAAUUUGAAGAUUUUCCAUUUAGAAGAAGGCAUCCUGAAGGUGUGUAAGCUGAACAAAUUGUAUCCUAUGUCUGUAUACAGAUUUAGACUUUCAAUUCAGGACUUUAAACUGGAGAGAGAGAUAAAAAGGAGUGUUUUGCUAGAGGAGUUUCUGCAGUGAAAAGAAAGUUGUAUAUGAUGAAAAGACAGCUAGAGGUGGCAAAAGUGAACUUUGAUGCUUUAGAGAGUAGUAGAAAAAAGAAGCAAUGGCAAAAAUCGACUAUAUUGUCAAGUCAAAGAGGCCAAAAUUCCAGGCAAACUAUAUUAAAAAAAUUGAGAUAGAUUAUUAAAAACCAGCUGAAAGGAUACAAAAAAAAAAAAAAAAGGAAAACAAAAUGAUUGACAAUUGUCUGUUUGUCAUGGAUGAUCUGAUUCUUCCUGACUUUCUGCUGAAGGUGGCUUUUGAAGGCACAAAUUAUAAUUUUCAUAGAAACUAUGACUGGGGUAAAUCAAUAUCCCAAGUUGAAAGAAUUUUGUGUAGUGGUGAAGAGGAAUUGACAGACAGAAAGAAAAUAAUGUGAUUUUUUCUAAAACAGAUAAAAGCAGCAGUUUAGUGUUUGUGAAGAGGGAAACACACCAAAAAUUUUUGAAAGAUUAUAUCAAAGAAACAGAGGAGGAGGAGUUGAAAGGAUAGCUGACUGAUAAGAUUUGUCACUGGGUGGAUAGGUUUCUAAAAUGUAAAGGGCUACUGACGUUCUUAAGGAACUUGAAAUGGCAUCUCCUGCCUGCCCAUGCCUAUUUAUGCUAAAAUUCAUAAGAAGCUGUUAAAAAUUAGACUAAUUGUUGAGAAGUUUAGAUCCUCUCUUUACUUAGUUGAGAAAAACUGGUGAGAUGCUGUAGAUUGAGAUUAACCUACCUAAUUACUAACCUAAUUAGCAUUGGUGUUGGGUUUCAUGCGGACUGUGAGCCCCAGUUUUUAUUUAAAAAUUUUUGCUACUGUAUGUACUCAAAUAUAAGCUGAUCCCCCAACUUCAGAGUUUGAAAAUUGGUAAAAAAUGCGAAACCCAUAUAUAAACCAAUCCCCAAAACUUUAG